GAUUAAGUUAUUAAGGGCGCACGGUGGAUGCCUUGGCACUAGAAGCCGAUGAAGGACGUUACUAACGACGAUAUGCUUUGGGGAGCUGUAAGUAAGCUUUGAUCCAGAGAUUUCCGAAUGGGGAAACCCAGCAUGAGUUAUGUCAUGUUAUCGAUAUGUGAAUACAUAGCAUAUCAGAAGGCACACCCGGAGAACUGAAACAUCUUAGUACCCGGAGGAAGAGAAAGAAAAUUCGAUUCCCUUAGUAGCGGCGAGCGAAACGGGAAGAGCCCAAACCAACAAGCUUGCUUGUUGGGGUUGUAGGACACUCUAUACGGAGUUACAAAGGACGACAUUAGACGAAUCAUCUGGAAAGAUGAAUCAAAGAAGGUAAUAAUCCUGUAGUCGAAAAUGUUGUCUCUCUUGAGUGGAUCCUGAGUACGACGGAGCACGUGAAAUUCCGUCGGAAUCUGGGAGGACCAUCUCCUAAGGCUAAAUACUCUCUAGUGACCGAUAGUGAACCAGUACCGUGAGGGAAAGGUGAAAAGCACCCCGGAAGGGGAGUGAAAUAGAACCUGAAACCGUGUGCUUACAAGUAGUCAGAGCC
rnacentral:rRNA from 1 species